UACAGAGGAGCCAAGCGUUGUCCGGAAUUACUGGGCGUAAAGAGCUCGUAGGCGGUCUGUCGCGUCUGCUGUGAAAACUCAGGGCUUAACCCUGAGCUUGCAGUGGGUACGGGCAGACUAGAGUGCGGUAGGGGAGACUGGAAUUCCUGGUGUAGCGGUGAAAUGCGCAGAUAUCAGGAGGAACACCGGUGGCGAAGGCGGGUCUCUGGGCCGUAACUGACGCUGAGGAGCGAAAGCAUGGGGAGCGAACAGG
rnacentral:rRNA from 1 species